CUAACCGCCCUUAGAAAAAUUCAGCCUAUAUACCGCCGUCGCCAGCUUACCUUUUAAAAGUAUAUCAGUAAGCUAAAAAGUAUUUUACUAAAAAGUCAGGUCAAGGUGUAGCACAUAGGUCGGAGGAAAUGGGCUACAUUAUUUAAUCUAAAUUAUUAACGAAUUUCUAAAUGAAAACAUAAUGAAGGUGGAUUUAGCAGUAAUUUAAACAAGAAUAUUUAAAUUAAACAAGCCCUAGAACAUGUACACACCGCC
rnacentral:rRNA from 1 species